rnacentral:rRNA from 1 species
CUUACGGGGCGCACCAGUGGGGAAUAUUGCACAAUGGGCGCAAGCCUGAUGCAGCCAUGCCGCGUGUAUGAAGAAGGCCCUAGGGUUGUAAAGUACUUUCAGUCGGGAGGGAGGCGUUGAUGCUAAUAUCAUCAGCGAUUGACGUUACCGACAGAAGAAGCACCGGCUAACUCCGUGCCAGCAGCCGCGGUAAUACGGAGGGUGCAAGCGUUAAUCGGAAUUACUGGGCGUAAAGCGCACGCAGGCGGUUGAUUAAGUUAGAUGUGAAAUCCCCGGGCUUAACCUGGGAAUGGCAUCUAAGACUGGUCAGCUAGAGUCUUGUAGAGGGGGGUAGAAUUCCAGGUGUAGCGGUGAAAUGCGUAGAGAUCUGAAGGAAUACCAGUGGCGAAGGCGGCCCCCUGGACAAAGACUGACGCUCAGAUGCGAAAGCGUGGGGAGCAAACAGGAUUAGAUACCCGCGUAGUC